GGAAAUGCAAAUCAAAACAACCCUGAGAUUCCACCUCACACCAGUCAGAAUGGCUAAGAUCAAAAAUUCAGGUGACAGCACAUGCUGGCAUGGAUGUGGAGAAAGAGGAACACUCCUCCAUUGUUGGUGGGAUUGCAAGCUUGUACAACCACUCUGGAAAUCAGUCUGGCGGUUCCUCAGAAAAUUGGACAUAGUACUACCGGAGGAUCCAGCAAUACCUCUCCUGGGCAUAUAUCCAGAAGAUGCCCCAACCGGUAAGAAGGACACAUGCUCCACUAUGUUCAUAGCAGCCUUAUUUAUAAUAGCCAGAAGCUGGAAAGAACCCAGACGCCCCUCAACAGAGGAAUGGAUACAGGAACAAUAUUUUUUAUUUCACAAAACUGUCACAAAAGUAUAGAGCUUCGCACAUAAAUGGAAUAGUCACAAGAGAAGGGAAUGUAGAUUAUGAGAGGUGCAUACGGGUUUUAGCAUUAUCAGGUACUAUUUGUUACUGGGAGGAGUUUGGUUUCUCACUCUUACUUACUUAUGCCAUGAGUACUACCUGGCACACUAUAGUAGUUGAAAGCAUGAUAGAUUUUAUAAUUAAAUUGUAAAAUGCAAGUCAGAGAGAAAAAUCAUUAGUUAAGAACCAAUCAUCAGAAAAUCUUUGUUUGGAAGUUUAAGGAAGCAAUGGUUAUUUGCUAGAGAAUGGAUAAGUAACCAAUAGGGAGAAAAUGACUAUUCCUCUCCCAGCAAUCAUAGGUGCUCUACAUUGGGUCCUGAAGAAGAGUGUAAAUCUUUAUUUCUAAUCACAGUUGUGUGUUCUGGGAACCAUCAUGAUAACACAGUGGCCACUCUCUAAAACCAGCGCUUGACUAAGCACUUGCCUGUUGACGUCCCAGUGGCAUAGGCAUUCUGUGCAUGUUUGGAGUUGUAUGUACUGUGCAACUAGCUCAGGUCUGACCUGGCUUACCAUCUUAAAAUAAGGAUCUUUAACACCCUUAAAUCAUGCUGAGCCUGGGGGCACACGCUUUUAGUCCCUGCACUCAGACAGCAGAAGCUUGCAGAUGUCUGUGAGGCCAGCCAAGAGAAGUAAUGGGACUUUGUCUUACUUAUUAAACACUGAAAAAUGAAAAUAAAUAUAAAAAUGCCUAGAUCACAGGUUUUUAUUUUUUAUUUCCCACAAAAAGUGCCUUAAUUUUAUAUUAAACUGAAACCACAAGGACAUGGAGAUCAUUAUUUCCCAAAAGAUAAUUUAAUUAUCUUGUUCUUUAAACUCAAACCACGGGGAGCACAAGCUUUCUUUCUAUACAAAGAUUUUCUAUACAAAGUUUACUCUUUCUAGUGACGCUGGUUGUAUUCAUUGUCCCCAUUUCAGUCGAAAGCAUGACUGAAGCUCAGUGGACUGUGCGUGGCUCCUUCCUCCCUAGUCCUCCUCGUAGAUAUUGAUGUCUCUUGCCCUUGAUUACUUAAUAUAUCCACAAUAAAAUUAAUGAAAGAUGGUUUUCCUCAUUGUAAUGUAAGCAGGCAUAUGGUACAUGAGGUAACUAUUAUUUUUGCUAGGGAGGUUAUUAAAAUAGAGGAAUAUUUGCUUCGUGCCUUGUUAUCAAAUGAUUAAUUAGUAUUUUCUAUAUGUUGUAUACAAUGUGUGAACAUGUAAAGCACAUAUUAUCAACAUGCUCAUUAAAGCAUAUAUACAUCUGUG
rnacentral:lncRNA from 1 species